CUGAGCCGAAGGCAGACGCUUAAGGACUGCGCUACCCAGGCGCCCCAGGGGCGUGUUUUAAUCCUCAGGAGACAAAACGGACUCCAGUUCCAGUAGAGGGCAACAAUAGCCGCAUACGCUUGUCCUUGUCAGAGGCCGGGCCCAGGAGGAACUAAUGAUCAGAGUAGCAGUAACAAUUACCAGCUGUGUUAUUACUCCGGCAAGCAAUUAACUCGGGACUUUGGAAGCUCUCAAGAAGUGUCUCACGUAGAAGGAGUGAUAACAAAUGGAUGGGCACAUGAAUUUGGAAUCUGAAUCCUGCCCACACCCCUUAAUAGUUCGGUAACCUUGGGCAAGCUCUUUAACCUCAUUUUCAUCCUCUGAAAAGUGGAAAUAAAUCACUUAUUCUCCCCCAGAUUUGCUGUAAAGAUCAAUUAAUGUAAAAGCAUUUGGUAUGCAGUGCCUGAUGUAUG